AGAGUUUGAUCCUGGCUCAGGAUGAACGCUGACAGAAUGCUUAACACAUGCAAGUCUAUUCAAGUUACCUUCGGGUAAUGAGGAUGGCGGACGGGUGAGUAACGCGUAAGGAACUUGCCUUUUGGUCUGGGACAACUGUUGGAAACGACAGCUAAUACCGGAUAUUAUGAGACUUUCGCAUGAGAGACUCAUGAAAGCUAUAUGCGCCAAGAGAGAGCCUUGCGUUCCAUUAGCUAGUUGGUGGGGUAACGGCCCACCAAGGCGACGAUGGAUAGCCGGCCUGAGAGGGUGAACGGCCACAAGGGGACUGAGACACGGCCCUUACUCCUACGGGAGGCAGCAGUGGGGAAUAUUGGACAAUGGACCAAAAGUCUGAUCCAGCAAUUCUGUGUGCACGAUGAAGGUCUUCGGAUUGUAAAGUGCUUUCAGUUGGGAAGAAGAAAGUGACGGUACCAACAGAAGAAGCGACGGCUAAAUACGUGCCAGCAGCCGCGGUAAUACGUAUGUCGCAAGCGUUAUCCGGAUUUAUUGGGCGUAAAGCGCGUCUAGGCGGAAAAGUAAGUCUGAUGUGAAAAUGCGGGGCUCAACUCCGUAUUGCGUUGGAAACUGCUUUUCUAGAGUACUGGAGAGGUGGGCGGAACUACAAGUGUAGAGGUGAAAUUCGUAGAUAUUUGUAGGAAUGCCGAUGGAGAAGUCAGCUCACUGGACAGAUACUGACGCUGAAGCGCGAAAGCGUGGGGAGCAAACAGGAUUAGAUACCCUGGUAGUCC
rnacentral:rRNA from 1 species